GAUGAACGCUGGCGGCAUGCCUAAUACAUGCAAGUCGAGCGAACGGACGAGAAGCUUUCUUCUCUGAUUUUAGCGGCGGACGGGUGAGUAACACGUGGUUAACCUACCUAUAAGACUGGGAUACCUUCGGGAAACCGGAGCUAAUACCGGAUGAUAUUUUGCACCGCAUGGUUCAAACGUGAAAGACGGUCUUGCUGUCACUUAUAGAUUGAUCCGCGCUGCAUUAGCUAGUUGGUAAGGUAACGGCUUACCAAGGCAACGAUGCAUAGCCGACCUGAGAGGGUGGACGGCCAGACGGGAAGUGAGACAGGGUCCAGACUCCUACGGGAAGCAACAGUAGGGAAUCUUCCGCGAGGGGCGAGAGCCGGACAGAGGAACGCCGCGUAAGGGAUGAAAGGCUACUGAUGGUAAAGCUCUGUAAUUAGGGAAGAACAAAAGUGUAAGUAACUGUGCACAUCUUGACGGUACCUAAUCAGAAAGCCACGGCUAACUACGUG
rnacentral:rRNA from 1 species